UACUGGGCCUCACGCAACAAGGUUGUGCGAAACCCGUCAGGUCCGGAAGGAAGCAGCGGUAGCAACAUUCCCUGUGUGUUGUGAGAUCACCCAGUAAAC
rnacentral:SRP_RNA from 1 species